rnacentral:rRNA from 1 species
UACGUAGGGGGCAAGCGUUGUCCGGAAUCAUUGGGCGUAAAGAGCGUGUAGGCGGUCCGGUAAGUCAGCUGUGAAAGUCAAGGGCUCAACCCUUGAAAGCCGGUUGAUACUGUCGGGCUAGAGUCCGGAAGAGGCGAGUGGAAUUCCCGGUGUAGCGGUGAAAUGCGCAGAUAUCGGGAGGAACACCAAUGGCGAAGGCAGCUCGCUGGGACGGUACUGACGCUGAGGAGCGAAAGUGUGGGGAGCGAACAGG